AGUGCAGGCCUGAGGGAUGGCAGCAGAUGACUCAUGGACUGGACACCAAUGGCAACACAUUUACCCCGUGUCCGUUGGCUGAGUGCUACUGACUGAAAUCGCAGGCUCUACCUCAAUUUGCAGCAACAGUGUCUGGUCUUGUCUGGAUCUACUUGAGAAAUGGCACUUACUGUUCUUAUCCACAUUCUCACCUUAUGAAAUCUCUGAAUGUGUGCCAAAGUCUUUCAUGGCUUACCUCGCCCAUAACGGUGGACAGAUUUAGGGAAGCUCUAAACAGCACAGAGAAGGACCAUGGCUUGCUCUCCUGCUUUUGCGUAACUGGCCAACAGGUGAAUCCUGAGUGAACAGGUCAGCUCAGGAACAAGAAGGAUCUAAAGAGAUCAAAAUAACUGUGACUCUACCCUUCCUGUUGGUGUUGAGAUUAUCAGCC